AAUGAACGCUGGCGGCAGGUCUAACACAUGCAAGUCGAACGGAUCCUUCGGGAUUAGUGGCGGACGGGUGAGUAACGCGUGGGAACAUACCCAAAGGUACGGAAUAGCCUCGGGAAACUGGGAGUAAUACCGUAUGUGCUCGAAAGAGGAAAGAUUUAUCGCCUUUGGAUUGGCCCGCGUUGGAUUAGGUGGUUGGUGGGGUAAUGGCCUACCAAGCCGACGAUCCAUAGCUGGUUUGAGAGGAUGAUCAGCCACACUGGGACUGAGACACGGCCCAGACUCCUACGGGAGGCAGCAGUGGGGAAUCUUAGACAAUGGGGGAAACCCUGAUCUAGCCAUGCCGCGUGGUCGAUGAAGGCCUUAGGGUUGUAAAGAUCUUUCAGGUGGGAAGAUAAUGACUGUACCACCAGAAGAAGCCCCGGCUAACUCCGUGCCAGCCGCCGCCGUAA
rnacentral:rRNA from 1 species